CACUAUUCACUAUGUACAACCCAGCUUUUGCCAGAUGCUCUAUCUCCUUUGAAUGGCGGUCAAUCUCAUCUUCAUGGUGCUUCUUCAAGGGCAGCCAGCUGCUCUCUCGUCUUCCCUCGGAAGUACCGAUCCUCUUCAGCCUUCUCUCGUUUCCUGAAGGCCCCACCAGCUUCUCGAAUGGAGCCAGCGCCCCUGUAUCCGUGCUCUCCGACAAGUCUGAGACGAAGCCUCGGGUUUGCAGGAACCCUCAUACCCCAGACACCGAGCCGAGCCCAAACCGCCAACGCCAAGCCUGCCAUUAUCUUCUAGCUUGGAAUUUCUAAUGAAGGUCUUGUUGCCACACCUACCCUCUACCGCAGGCUGUAUCCACUCCAAAGCAGAUGGAAGAACCUGUUAAAAAUGAAAAUCAGCUCUUUUGUGGCACCUCCUAGGUGAUCAGCGUUACGGUGAAGUUGAAUAUCUCAUUCCCAGCCUCCAGCUGCCAAGUGGAUGACUGACAUCUUUGUGCUGAGCCCAUGGCUACAGGAGUAGCUGAUGCUCUGGGCGAAGAGUGGUGUGGUGGUUUGUAUGUGCUUGGCCCAGGGAAUGGCAC
rnacentral:lncRNA from 1 species